rnacentral:tmRNA from 1 species
GGGGCUGAUUCUGGAUUCGACGGGAUUUGCGAAACCCAAGGUGCAUGCCGAGGGGCGGUUGGCCUCGUAAAAAGCCGCAAAAAAUAGUCGCAAACGACGAAAACUACGCUUUAGCAGCUUAAUAACCUGCUCUGUGCCCUCUCUCCCUAGCUUCCGCUCUUAAGA